rnacentral:rRNA from 1 species
GGAGUCUGGUCCGUGUCUCAGUACCAGUGUGGGGGAUAAGCCUCUCAGCUCCCCUAGACAUCGUCGGCUUGGUGGGCCGUUGCCCCGCCAACUACCUAAUGUCACGCAUGCCCAUCCACUACCACCGAAGCUUUAGUUGUCUCUCCAUGCGAAAAAACAACACUAUGGGAUAUUAGUGGAAGUUUCCCUCCGUUAUCCCCCUGUAGUGGGUAGGUUGCAUACGCGUUACGCACCCGUGCGCCGGUCGCCAGCGACAAUAGCAAGCUAUCGUCCUGCUGCCCCUCGACUUGCAUGUGUUAAGCCUGUAGCUAGCGUUCAUC